rnacentral:rRNA from 1 species
GACGAACGCUGGCGGCGUGCUUAACACAUGCAAGUCGAACGGAAAGGCCUGCUUUCCCUUGUGGAUUGCGGGUACUCGAGUGGCGAACGGGUGAGUAACACGUGAGUGAUCUGCCCCCAACUUGGGUAUAAGCCUGGGAAACUGGGUCUAAUUCCCGAUAGGACUGCAGGGUGGUGCCUGUGGUGGAAAACGAUUUUCUAGUGGUUGGGGAUGAGCUCGCGGCCUAUCAGCUUGUUGGUGGGGUAAUGGCCUACCAAGGCGGCGACGGGUAGCCGGCGUGAGAGGGUGGACGGCCACAUUGGGACUGGGAUACGGCCCAGACGCCUGCGGGAGGCAGCAGUGGGGAGUAUUGCACAGUGGGCGGAAGCCUGAUGCAGCGACGCUGCGUGGGAGAUGACGGCCUUCGGGUUGUAAACUCCUUGCGACCGCGAGGAAGACGCCUGGUUGGAAGGGUGGUGACGGUAGUGGUAGAAGAAGCACCGGCUAACUACGUG